AUUGAACGCUGGCGGCAGGCCUAACACAUGCAAGUCGAGCGGCAGCGGGAAAGUAGCUUGCUACUUUUGCCGGCGAGCGGCGGACGGGUGAGUAAUGCCUGGGAAAUUGCCCAGUCGAGGGGGAUAACAGUUGGAAACGACUGCUAAUACCGCAUACGCCCUACGGGGGAAAGCAGGGGACCUUCGGGCCUUGCGCGAUUGGAUAUGCCCAGGUGGGAUUAGCUAGUUGGUGAGGUAAUGGCUCACCAAGGCGACGAUCCCUAGCUGGUCUGGAAGGAGGGUCAGCCACACUGGAACUGAGACACGGUCCAGACUACUACGGGAGGCAGCAGUGGGGAAUAUUGCACAAUGGGGGAAACCCUGAUGCAGCCAUGCCGCGUGUGUGAAGAAGGCCUUCGGGUUGUAAAGCACUUUCAGCGAGGAGGAAAGGUCAGUAGCUAAUAUCUGCUGGCUGUGACGUUACUCGCAGAAGAAGCACCGGCUAACUCCGUGCCAGCCGCCGCCGUAACAC
rnacentral:rRNA from 1 species